rnacentral:rRNA from 1 species
AACGAACGCUGGCGGCAUGCCUAACACAUGCAAGUCGAACGAGACCUUCGGGUCUAGUGGCGCACGGGGGCGUAACGCGUGGGAACCUGCCCUUAGGUUCGGAAGAACUCCCCGAAAGGGGUGCUAAUACCGGAUAAUGUCUUCGGACCAAAGAUUUAUCGCCUUUGGAUGGGGCCGCGUUGGAUUAGCUAGUUAGUAGGGUAAAAGCCUACCAAGGCGGCGAUCCAUAGCUGGUCUGAGAGGAUGAUCAGCCACACUGGGACUGAGACACGGCCCAGACUCCUACGGGAGGCAGCAGUGGGGAAUAUUGGACAAUGGGCGAAAGCCUGAUCCAGCAAUGCCGCGUGAGUGAUGAAGGCCUUAGGGUUGUAAAGCUCUUUUACACGGGAUGAUAAUGACAGUACCGGGAGAAUAAGCACCGGCUAACUCCGUG